rnacentral:lncRNA from 1 species
GGAAAAUGCUAGUUGAUAGUACCGUAAAUAAUUUCUCUAAAUACUCGUAUGUAAAAUUAAAAAUGGCUGAAAGUUGAAGCAGUCUUAUUUUGUGCAGGUAACCCUUCAAUAAUGUUUAGAGACAUUCUUCCUGUUUGCCCAAGCUGUCUGCUGUAGCAAUGUAUCUGCUUGCAGUUUAAAUUCAGUGUUUUAUGAAUUAGCAAUCAUUAUUGAUCACAUUUACUAUAUUUAGUUCUAUUUUUUGUUUUGUACAACCUAUUGAAUAGAAA